rnacentral:rRNA from 1 species
GACGAACGCUGGCGGCGUGCUUAACACAUGCAAGUCGAACGGAAGGGCCCUGCUUGCAGGGUACUCGAGUGGCGAACGGGUGAGUAACACGUGGGUGAUCUGCCCUGCACUUCGGGAUAAGCCUGGGAAACUGGGUCUAAUACCGGAUAGGAGCCAUUUUUAGUGUGAUGGUUGGAAAGUUUUUUCGGUGUAGGAUGAGCUCGCGGCCUAUCAGCUUGUUGGUGGGGUAAUGGCCUACCAAGGCGGCGACGGGUAGCCGGCCUGAGAGGGUGGACGGCCACAUUGGGGCUGAGAUACGGCCCAGACUCCUACGGGAGGCAGCAGUGGGGAAUCUUGCACAAUUGGCGCAAACCUGAUGCAGCGACGCCGCGGGGGGGAUGACGGCCGUCGGGUUGUAAACUCCUUUCGCUAGGUACGAAGCUUUUUGUGACGGUACCUAGAUAAGAAGCACCGGCUAACUACGUG